UACGUAGGGUGCAAGCGUUAAUCGGAAUUACUGGGCGUAAAGCGUGCGCAGGCGGUGAUGUAAGACAGUUGUGAAAUCCCCGGGCUCAACCUGGGAACUGCAUCUGUGACUGCAUCGCUGGAGUACGGUAGAGGGGGAUGGAAUUCCGCGUGUAGCAGUGAAAUGCGUAGAUAUGCGGAGGAACACCGAUGGCGAAGGCAAUCCCCUGGACCUGUACUGACG
rnacentral:rRNA from 1 species